rnacentral:lncRNA from 1 species
AAAAUAUCAGAGACUGAACUAGUUUGGGACAUUGAGACUAUCUAGAAAUAGAUGGCAUCUGGAUUUGGCUGGUGGGCUGUAGUUUGCUGACCCCUGCACUCAAGCCCUGGGGAGGUUCGUAUUUUUCUGAAUCUGUCAUGAGUUUUUAUAUUUCCAUACCUUUCCUUAAACAGUUCCCA